UAUUAUUGGUUAAUUUAGUGGGUCAUAUAUUCCGUAAGUUUCUCUAGUUCGUUGAGUUUUUUAAUUCCUAUUUAAAGAGUCCUAUGUAACUUUGUUUAUCAGAAUGAAUGAAACGUACCUUCUCUGCAAUUGUCGUCUUCUCAUACAUUGCUCUUUCUUUCUUCUAUUCCCAAACAAGUUUGAUAUCAGAGAGAGAGAGAGUUAAACCAAUAGUGUAUUUUUAAUUUUUCUCUCUAUCCAGGUUAGGUUAAAUUGGGAGGUAAGGCAAGAGCAAGAAGAAAAAUCAAGAUUGAGGGCAAAAAAAUUGGCUACCAAUGAGCAUCUACCACAUUUCAGCAACUACUUCCCAUCUUUAAUGGGGAUAAAUAUGAAUUCUGGAGCAUAAAGAUGAAGACUUUGUUCAAGUCUCAAGAAUUGUGGGAUUUGCUGGAGAAUGAUUAUGCUGAGGAAGAUGAAGCACAAAGGUUGCGGGAGAACAAAAAGGACUCCAAGUCUCUAUUUUACGUCCAGCAAGCGAUGCAUGACUCAAUCUUUUCUAGAAUAGCUGCUGCAGAAACCUCAAAGCAGGCUUAGGAUAUUCUGAAUAAAGAAUUCACGGCUCGACAAAGGUAAUGACUGUCAAACUCCAGCCAUGAAAAGUAGUGAAUCUGUGCAAGGCUACUUAUCUCGGGUGAGUACAAUUGUUAAUCAUAUGAAGGCAUACGGUGACAAAAUUAUUGAUGAAACUGUAGUUUCUAAAGUUUUGAGAAGUCUUAAUAUAAGAUUUGAUUUUGUCGUAGAUGUCAUUAUGGAGUCCCAUGAUUUAUCUAAUUAUUAUUUUGAUGAAUUGAUGAGUUCAUUGCAAGUUCAUGAGGAUAGACUGAAUGUUUCUCAAGAAAAGGGUGAAGAGAAGGCAUUUCUGAUCAAGGGGGAGUCUUCUUUCAAAGGCAAAUCAAAAGUUUCAAAUGUUAGAGGAUACAGAGGCAGAGUUUCUGUGGUCAAGGUCAUGGCAGAGGAUGAGCUCAAUUUGGUGGUGACCACCGGCAGUUUAAGAGCAAUAUUUAGUGCCGCUAUUGCAGAAAAAUGGGGCACAAGGAAGCUGAUUGCUGGACUAAAUAGAAGGAUCAACAACAUGCCAAUUUCACUGAGUAACAACAGAAGGAGGGUAAUUUGUUUAUGGCUCUCUCCUCAGUAGAUGAUGGUUCCGAUGAUGAAUGGAUCAUUGAUAGUGGUUGGUCUAAUCACAUAUCUGGCAAAAGGUCACUGUUCAGAGAACUUGAUGAAUCAGAGAAGUCAGAAGUUCGUUUUGAAAAUGACAAGGCAAUGAAAGUCAACGUAAAAGGAAAUGGUAUUCACAGAGAGCUCACAGCACCAUAUACACCGGAUCAGAAUGGUGUAGCUGAACGAAAAAAUCAGACAGUCGGUGAAAUGGGCAGAAGCAUGAUGCAAGCUAGAGGUGUUCCUAGCCUGAAGCUGUUGCUAUUGCUGUCUACGUACUGAACAUUUCACCCACCAAAUCUGUUCUUAAUCAAACACCAUAUGAAGCAUGGAGAGGUAGCAAGCCCAAGGUAAGCCACUUAUGUGUCUUUGGAUAUAUAGCUUAUUCUUUGGUGAAUUCACAUGCUAGAUAUAAGCUUGAUGAAAAGUCAAAAAAAUGUAUCUUUGUUGGAUAUAGCACACAAUCCAAAGCUUAUAAGCUAUAUGAUCCACUGAGUGGCAAAAUUGUGAUCAGUAGAAAUGUUAUGUUUAAUGAAGAUGCUAGAUGGAACUUUGAUUCUGGGAAUGUUAGUUCGAAUAUUAAAUUGUCGCCUACUGAUGAAGUUUUUGAGCAAGAACCUGCAGCAGUUUUCAUUCCAGGGAACUCAUCCAGUUCUUCUCCAGCAAGUAGCAGCCUUUCUAUUCCUCAAUCAAGCACCUCUGCUCCAGCAAGUGAUCAUUGCAUAACCCCCCAAAGAAGUAGCAGCAAUUCUUCUUCAAUAGACUCUUCAAGUGAGACUCCACUAGCGAAAUUCAGAUUGUUGAGGAAGAUUUAUGAAAAUUGUUCUUUUGCUUUGUAUGUUGCAGAACCCACUUGUUUUAAGGAAGAUGCAGAGAGUCAAGUAUGGAAAAAUACAAUGAUAGAAGAGAUGCUAGCAAUUGACUAGAAUCAGACAUGGGAGUUGGUAAAUCUACCGGAAGGAAAGGAAACCAUUGGACUCACAUGGAUGUUCAAAAUCAAGUGUCACGCAGAUGGGAGCAUACAAAGAUACAUAGCAAGGCUCGUAGCUAAGGAAUAUGCACAACAUCAAGAUAUUGAUUACGAUGAAACGUUUUCACCUGUUGCUCUCUUUGAAACAGUGAGAAUACUCUUAUCUUUGGCUGCUAACUAAGCUGGCCCGUUAUCAAUUUGAUGUUAAAUCUGCAUUCUUAAAUGGGGAUUUGGAAGAGGAGGUUUAUAUUUCCCAACCUGAGGGUUUUGUUACUAGUGGCAAUGAGAAAAAAGUAUACAAGCUCAAGAAGGCCAUUUAUGGGCUAAAACAAGCGUCACAGGCAUGGUACAACAAAAUUGACUCAAUACUUUCUGAGGAAUGGAUUUUAAAGGAGCGAAAAUGAGCUUACGCUAUAUGUAAAGAAACAAGUAUGUUGUCUAGGUAUAUACAUUGUUCUACCAACCAACAUCUUGGUGAUGCCAAAAGAGUUUUGCGUUAUGUUGCUGGGACCGUUGAUUUCGAAAUUUGGUACUCCAAAGAUGUGGAUUUCAGCUUGAAAGGGUAUAGAUAGUGAUUGGGAAGGAAGUAUAGAUAACAGAGAGAGUACUUUCUGAAAAUGUUUUCAGUUUAGGAUCUGGAGCGAUUCCUUGGAGUUCAAAGAAGCAGGAUGUGGUUGCAUUAUCAUCAUCGAAAGCAAAGUAUGUUGUUGUAACUUCAGCAGUAUGUCAGGCCUUAUGGUUACGAAGAUUAUUAGUUGAUGUUUUCCAUCGGCAAGAGGGUGCGAUAAAAAUAUUCUGCAAUAACAAGGCAACAAUUGCAAUGACAAAGAAUCCGGAUUUUCACAGCAGAACAAAGCACAUCGACAUCCGUUAUCAUUUCAUUCGUGACCACACAUCAAAAGGUGAUAUAGAGUUGAAGUGUUGCGGUACAAGGGAUCAAAUUGCAGAUGUUCUCACCAAGGCACUCCCACAAGCCAAGCAUGAUCAUUCAGGCAGAAACUUGAAGUUUGUUAAUUUGAAUCAAGGGGGAGUGUUUUAUAUUGAUUCAAAGGUAAUUAAUGGUUCCUAUUUAGUUGGCAGAGUAACACGUUUGUUAGGAGUCCUAGUUGAGUCAAAGCAGAUCUUUAUUAGUUGCUAAUAUUUAGAUUAGUGGAUUAUUAUUGGUUAAUUUAGUGGGACAUGUAUUUCGUAAGUUUCUCUAGUUGGUUGAGUUUUUUAAUUCCUAGAGCCCGUUUGGAUUGACUUAAAAAAAGUAACUUUUAUGUAUGAAGUGCUUUUAGAACUUUGAAGUGCUGAAAGUUAUUUUUAUAAAUAAGCAGUUGAGUGUUUGGAUAAAAGUGC